CAGCCGAGCGUUGAGCAUAUACCGAACUAUUCUUUCGCCUUUUACUAAAGAAUACCGUGUGCUCGUCGCUUAUAAGUGGCAUAUACUUCUUUUUGUUUUUUGGAAGGGUGUGUUCAUGCAA